rnacentral:rRNA from 1 species
UACGUAGGGGGCUAGCGUUGUCCGGAAUCAUUGGGCGUAAAGCGCACGUAGGCGGAUUUCUAAGUCAGGGGUGAAAUCCUGGAGCUCAACUCCAGAACUGCCUUUGAUACUGGGAAUCUCGAGUCCGGGAGAGGUGAGUGGAACUGCGAGUGUAGAGGUGAAAUUCGUAGAUAUUCGCAAGAACACCAGUGGCGAAGGCGGCUCACUGGCCCGGUACUGACGCUGAGGUGCGAAAGCGUGGGGAGCAAACAGG